rnacentral:lncRNA from 1 species
UUGCUGCAGCUGGUUGGCUUGCUGGGAGUUUUUCCCAGCACCAAGCUCAGACUUCAUCAUACCUUUUAAGAACAGCUAUAUAUCACUAUUACGUCAAGACCAUAAUCAAUCAUGAAUGCUCCCUAGUUAUUACAUGUGGGAUCUCUAACCCACAGAGGGUUUCCAUAUCUAUCUACAUCUUGAAGACUCAUCUGGGAUUUGAUUCCAGUUUGCUUGUCUUAUCAUCAAAUGAAGUCAGACCUCCAUCUGGAUUAUCCUAUGAACUGGCAGAAAUCCAUUGGAGAAAGGAGUCCUCUUUUCACUCAGGAAAGAUUGUUCCAUUGAGAUGGCUCCCUUCCAUUUGGGAAUCUGUAGGAUUUGAUCUGGGAAGUUAGGGAUAGCUCCCUGUCCCUGAGCUCUGAAACUGUGCAUAGUUUGCAUUGUUCUAAACACCUACAAAUGAGUGUCAUUUGGACUCAAAUAAAACCAGCUU